rnacentral:rRNA from 1 species
UACGGAGGGUGCAAGCGUUGUUCGGAAUCACUGGGCGUAAAGCGCGUGUAGGCGGCCUCCUCGGUCUGGUGUGAAAGCCCGGGGCUCAACCCCGGAAGUGCAUUGGAUACUGGGAGGCUGGAGUACCGGAGAGGAGGGUGGAAUUCCUGGUGUAGCGGUGAAAUGCGUAGAUAUCAGGAGGAACACCGGUGGCGAAGGCAGCUCGCUGGGACGGUACUGACGCUGAGACGCGAAAGCGUGGGGAGCAAACAGG